AUAAAGCUCUUUUGUAGGGGAAGAUAAUGACUGUACCCUAAGAAUAAGGUCCGGCUAACUUCGUGCCAGCAGCCGCGGUAAUACGAAGUGACCUAGCGUAGUUCGGAAUUACUGGGCGUAAAGCGCGCGUAGGCCGUUGAGCUAGUUAAUUGUGAAAUCCCAAAGCUUAACUUUGGAACUGCAAUUAAAACUGCUCGACUAGAGUUUGAUAGAGGAAAGCGGAAUACAUAGUGUAGAGGUGAAAUUCGUAGAUAUUAUGUAGAACACCAGUUGCGAAGGCGGCUUUCUGGGUCAACACUGACGCUGAGGCGCGAAAGUAUGGGUAGCAAAGAGGAUUAGAUACCCUCGUAGUCCAUACCAUAAACGAUGAUUGCUAGAUGUUGGAAAUUUAUUUCCAGUAUCGCAGCUAACGCAUUAAGCAAUCCGCCUGGGGAGUACGACCGCACGGUUAAAACUCAAAUGAAUUGACGGGGACCCGAACAAGCGGUGGCGCAUGUGGUUUAAUUCGAAGAUACGCGC
rnacentral:rRNA from 1 species